rnacentral:rRNA from 1 species
UUGAGACAUACAAAUAUGCCGGAUAAUAAAAUCCACAGAUUAAAAUCCAAAGAAUAUGGCGGUGUUUUUAUAUAAUCAGGGGAACCUGUAUCUUAAUUCGAUAAUCCACGAUAUUUCAACCUUUAAUUGAAUUUUCAGCUUGUGUACUGCUGUCGUCAGUAUACCUAUAAAAGAUAGUGUACAAUAUUCAUACUAAUCAUGAUCACGUCAAGUCAAAGUGCAGCAAAUUUAAAGGAGAUAAUGGGUUACAAUCUUAACAAAGAUUACGGAAAAGACCAAUAAAAAGUCUUUAAAGGUGGACUUGAAAGUAAUUCUCAAAAACCAUUAGUAUAAAAAUUUCUAAACACGUACACAUCGCCCGUCGCUCUCAUCAAAAGAC